GACGAACCGUGCGAACGUUGUUCGGAAUCACUGGGCUUAAAGGGCGCGUAGGCGGCCCGCCGCGUCCGGGGUGAAAUCCUCCCGCUCAACGGGGGAACGGCCUCGGAUACGGGCGGGCUGGAGGCGGGUAGGGGCACGCGGAACUGUGGGAGGAGCGGUGAAAUGCGUUGAUAUCCACAGGAACUCCGGUGGCGAAGGCGGCGUGCUGGACCCGAUCUGACGCUGAGGCGCGAAAGCCAGGGGAGCGAACGGG
rnacentral:rRNA from 1 species